rnacentral:lncRNA from 1 species
CUACAACUCACUAAUAUUUAGUGAAUUUGUUUAUUGCAACUCUUGCAUUGAAUUAGUCAUCAAUCAAAUUGAUAAUUAAAUUCUACUACAAUUUAUAAUCGUAAUUCAACUAUUUGAUCAAUCAAGAACCUCUUUUAUGUGUGACCCCAUAGGUUCUAAUUCUGUCUGAUAGUGAGACAUACCAUGAUCUCCAUCAUAGUAUCAUUGAAACUCCUUUCAAUAGAUUAGAACACUUCUAACUCACACCCAUUAAUAAUCAUCUAUCCAGAAUGAUCCUAGUGAGCUCUUAUAAUCCAUUAGUGACAUCUAGUAGUAUGUAGUAGCAAUCCAACAGAAUAUGAAAUAGAAUCUCUAGGUGUAGCUACCAUGUGAUUCAAUUCUUCUAUCAUGAGUUCUGACAAGAUAGAGAUUAUGCAAACUCAUCAAAUCCCUUCAUCUGUCAUAUGAAAAUUCGAUUAGCUCAAGUCCGGAUAUGAUACUCAUGAAAACUCUUUUCUAUUAAUCACCUUACUGUAGCCACAGACUUAUGAACUUAGCUUUUCAAAUCCCAUAAGACUAUCCUUAUCUACUAAGAUCGAUAGAUCCCAUUUAAAUGUACAUCGUACUCCUACAGUGAAUCUACUGCAGUGAACGUCCACUACAAGGAUUCAUAUGAUUAGGGACCAUGUUUAUGUAUAGUCAAACUACAGUAACCCCACUGUGAACAGUCAAGGCACCGUAGAUCAAAAAAUUACUUACAUAACUACAGCAUCGAGAAGAUUACUGACGAGUGAGUAGACUUCAUGUGAUCUCUCGUAUAGUCAUGCUCAGUACCGAUGUGUUAGAUGUGUAUCCUAUAAGCUAAUUGUUAGCAGACAUAUUAUGUAUUUUCAGGACCUAUUCUUGUAUUUGUAAAUAUUUGUUAUCGAAACUUUAAUAAACAAAUAAGGAUCCCACUAUUUCUAUGGACCUUUCACACUCGGAUGGAGAAACGAAAACCUAUACACGAUCAAUUUUUAGUGAGUACUAUGCUCCCACUAAUCCAUGUGCAUCUCAUCUAACAGUUACUGGUGACGCAUGAACCAAUGAGUGGACAACACUUUAUCCAUUACUUCACUAAGUAAGAUGCAGAAGGUUCGAUCUCUAAGUCCUGUGGUCUCACCUCACAGUUAUUGACAUAUUUCUUAGUUAAGUCAGACCCACAAUACACCAGCGGAUGCAAAACCAUCAUUGGAUCCCUUACCUAACAAUUAUUGGAUCCAAGCCCAUCUCUACCCCGGGAUAUCCAAUGCCAUAGAGUAGUUGUGCCCUCCCGAUGUAAUCGAACCACUAUGACCAGCUGAGAACAAUCAAUACCAGGAAGACACUUGCAUCUCUACAAUGGUGGAAGACCGCUAAACUUAAUAUUUGAUUAAGGAGAUUUAGGUUCAGAUUUCUUUCUUAAUUAAUCAUAACGAUUAUGACUAACCUAGUGGCAUGAACUAGCUCGAAUCAACAAGUAGCCUAAUACAAAACAUAAUCUUCCAAAAUGGCCAGUUAAGUUAAGAUAUGUAGGGGUCCUCCCAUUACUUUUCUUAGACACUAACGAAUUGACUAGAUCAGACAACGAAACUAAUUAAAUAACCACCAUCUAUAUACUUACCUUAAACACAAAUUAGUUGAUUAAAAUCGAUCAAAUUAGCCUAUUGAUCUGGGCUCCAUCCAUUGAGCCUAUUAAGUCUUAAGUUGAUCGAUAACAUGUGGCUGUUAAUCGAUCCGACCAAACUACAACUAAUUAGGUUGGUCAUGAGCAUACUUUGACCUAAUCCUAAUCAACAUUUAAUUCGAUUUAAUCAACUGCUCAAACUAGACCUAAUUGAGCUACCUAUACCCUUAACCCCAGGAUUUAUGCAAUUGAAAUUUGGAUCUUAAAUUUAUAAUUUUAGAUCUUUUAAGUUCAAAUCUUAAUUCUUAAUUAACUGCAUUAUGACAUAGGUUUAGUUUAGAUGUCAAAUCAAUUUCUAAUCUAAACUAAUUUGGAUUACAUCAUAUGCAAUUUUACUGUCAAUAGGCUCAAGUCGACUCACCGUAGAACUCGAAUGGACUUGUCAGAAACUGUAAGCCCACACCUGCAAGAUUUAGUCGACUCAUACAUAAAUGAGCCCACUCACCAGGAUCUCGAAUCGAUUCCAACAAAGAUGAGUCAACUC